CCACGACCCUCUGCACCGUCCUCACCCCACGGCCUGGAGCAGCCACACGUCAGCUUGAGGGCAUUGGCUGAGGGGUUGGACAUCACCACGUGCUUUAAAUUAAGCAUGGUUAAGUGCUUUGUUGAACCAGGGCCCUGGUGCUGCUCGCAGGCAAUGGAGUGAAGCUGCUACUGAGAGUUGGAAAGCAUGUGUGGAGGCUGCCUCUUCUUAUGCCUGUUCUUUUAUAGCAAUAAGACACGCAAAGCCAGGAAGCAGCUAACGGGAGAAGCAACGAAGGACAAACAGCCUCUAAAAGCAACUAGUGGUAGGAAGCCAGCAAGGCGAGCUGGGACAUAGGGCAAAAAACAGGAUUGUCCUAAGGACAAGUUUUGAUUUCCAUCUCCAAGAAGGGAAGUACUUUACCAACCAGAAUUAAAGCUACAUUUCUGUAAUGCUAAUAUUGAGGUUACUGGGUUUUCUCAGAUUGUCACAAAGGGUUCACCUCUACUUUUGAGCCACUCACAGGGACAUGGGCAGUACUGUCCCCCUGCCUGGAGAGAAGGUAAUAAUAGGAUCAGCUAAGCUUUAUGUUAUGCAGGGAUCCUAGUUUUCCCUAGUAAACUUCCCCAAAUUCUCUGAUAAAAAACAUAAAAAUCCACAUUUUCCAUGAUUAAAAUGAAAUGCUGAACUUUAGUUUUCCUAGCCACCAUAUACAUCGGUAACAGUUGAACACAAUAUUUUAUUGAUAUAUUUACAAUUUUUAAGCAAGUUUGAAGUCUACCAGUGCCAUCAAUCAUUAUAAUAAAAUUAAUAGCAUUGUAAUUUGUAUUUCAUACACAUACCAAAUAGUUCUGUCUGUAUUGUAUAUUAUCAGAAAAUUAGGUUUUUUUAAAUGUACAAAAACGCUGAUAUGAUCCAGUCACAGUGCAUUGUUUCUUUACUGUUGUCAAUGGACCUUCUGUUUCAGUCUCAUUUUCAUUCAGUUUAUGUUUAGCGUUUUCCAUGUGUUCUACAAUUGUCUACCUUCGAAUGUAAUCUACAGCCUUGCUGCAUACAGUACAGAUAGAACAUUACCGUCAACAUGAAAUUUGUCCUUGCCAAAUGCAGAGACAGUCUUUGGGAUGAUUUUUAAAGUUUUUGGCAUCUUUUCAUAAUUUUAAUCACUCACAUCUGGAGGCUGAAGUGAAAUUUGAGAUACACUAAAAAAUGAACCCCCCAUACGCCAUUGAAUAACCUCUAUACACUGGAAGCAAUUUAUUGGAAUAUGUUUAGCUAUGUAAAUUUAAAGAGCGUUCAAAAAUUAACCACAAGAGGAGUAGGUUGCGCACACUGAAUAAGUGACAAGUACUUUCAGUAAAAUUUAAUUAAUGUUUUUACUUUUUUCACAAAAAGUAAAAACUAAAGAUUCUUUGUAAAAAUGCAAAUUCAGCUUUUUUUCCAUGACAAACGGAUUUCUAAGGUCACUGGUCAUAUGCUCAGUGAUGCACAACUAUUUAAUUUACUAUCCUAGUUUUAAAAGCAUUUAAUUGACAAGAUCUCAUGAGAAAAACAAACACACAUAGGCAGUGUGGAUAGCUGUGUUAUCUACAACUGUGCUUAGAGAGAGAGAGUGAGAUACAAGGAGAAAGGGAAACAGAGUGAAAGUACUGCAAUAAUCUAGUGAAUCGACACACACUAAAAGUAUUUUGAUACAACUUUUAUUGACCAGAUAAACACCCAACUCAUGACACUAACACAUAAAUAUGCAUUUAGUGCAGAUUUUAUUUAGAGGACAGUGAUAUUGCAACAAUGGAAGAAAGUUAUGCUGCAUGUGUAGUAACUAGCUUCAGAUAUUAAUAAAUCAUUUGGUUUUAAUUAUUUUGAAUAACUUAACUGGUUCCAGUUAUUUCUGAAUAAAUGAAAGACACUUCCAACUUGACACCUACAUUUUUGAUUGUGUUUAAAAAAAAUUACAGAACCUAACUGGAAUAAAAAGUAUUCUGUGAGCAAUGAAAGAGGAAAUUAAUUACAUUUAAAAAUGAACUAUUCCCUUGCAAUGCUGUAAAUACCCGACAAUUAAACACUGUAGUAGUACAUCAGAACCAGAAAAUGAAAAAUUUAAUCCUGACCCUCAAAACACUUAUUCACAUGAGUAAUCCCAAUUGAUUCAGUGCAACUAUUCAUAUGCCUAAAUGUUUGCAGGACUUGGACCUUAGAAAGUCACUAUAAAUGAAAAUGAAACUGACAACUCUAUCUUCAUUAUCUCUGCUGAGUGAAAUGCAAAAGUAAGGAAAUCCCAUAGACGAUAACUAGGGGGGUUGAGGGGUUUUUUUGUAGUAAAAUAUUGUGUAUAAUCCAGUUAUAAAGUGACCAACUAGAAGGGCACCAAGGG